rnacentral:rRNA from 1 species
GAUGAACGCUGGCGGCGUGCCUAAUACAUGCAAGUCGAGCGAACAGACGAGGAGCUUGCUCCUCUGACGUUAGCGGCGGACGGGUGAGUAACACGUGGAUAAUCUACCUAUAAGACUGGGAUAACUUCGGGAAACCGGAGCUAAUACCGGAUAAUAUAUUGAACCGCAUGGUUCAAUAGUGAAAGACGGUUUUGCUGUCACUUAUAGAUGGAUCCGCGCCGCAUUAGCUAGUUGGUAAGGUAACGGCUUACCAAGGCAACGAUGCGUAGCCGACCUGAGAGGGUGAUCGGCCACACUGGAACUGAGACACGGUCCAGACUCCUACGGGAGGCAGCAGUAGGGAAUCUUCCGCAAUGGGCGAAAGCCUGACGGAGCAACGCCGCGUGAGUGAUGAAGGUCUUCGGAUCGUAAAACCCUGUUAUUAGGGAAGAACAAAUGUGUAAGUAACUAUGCACGUCUUGACGGUACCUAAUCAGAAAGCCACGGCUAACUACGUG